CUACGGGCUGCAGCAGUGAGGAAUAUUGCACAAUGGGCGGAACCCUGAUGCAGCAACGCCGCGUGGAGGAUGACGCAUUUCGGUGUGUAAACUCCUUUUAUAUGUCAAGAAAAUGACGGUAGCAUAUGAAUAAGCACCGGCUAACUCCGUGCCAGCAGCCGCGGUAAUACGGGAGGGUGCAAGCGUUACUCGGAAUCACUGGGCGUAAAGGACGCGUAGGCGGGUUGGAAAGUCAGGUGUGAAAUCCUACAGCUUAACUGUAGAACUGCACUUGAAACUUCUAAUCUAGAGUAUGGGAGGGGGAGAUGGAAUUAGUGGUGUAGGGGUAAAAUCCGUAGAUAUCACUAGGAAUACCUAAAGCGAAGGCGAUCUCCUGGAACAUUACUGACGCUAAGGCGUGAAAGCGUGGGGAGCAAACAGGAUUAGAUACCCCCGUAGUC
rnacentral:rRNA from 1 species